UACGGGGGGGGCAAGCGUUGUUCGGAAUUACUGGGCGUAAAGGGCUCGUAGGCGGCCAACUAAGUCGGACGUGAAAUCCCCAGGCUCAACCUGGGAACUGCGUCGGAUACUGGAUGGCUUGAAUUCGGGAGAGGGAUGCAGAAUUCCAGGUGCAGCGGUGAAAUGCGUAGAUAUCUGGAGGAAUACCGGUGGCGAAGGUGGCAUCCUGGACCGACAUUGACGCUGAUGAGCGAAAGCUAGGGGAGCAAACGGG
rnacentral:rRNA from 1 species